rnacentral:rRNA from 1 species
UUGCUAAAUAUUUAUUUUUGCAUAAUCUAUAUGUAAAUUUUUGUAAUAAUUUAUUUUAAAUAGGUAAAUUUUUAAAAUUAAGGCAGUAGAUAAUUUUAUUGAUAUUAAGGUAGUUUAGAUUUGGUUAAUGUUUAAAGAAUUGGUAAAGGCUGUGCCAGCAUCCGCGGUUAUACAGUAAAUUCAAUUAAAUAUUAUUGGCUUUGGAGUAAUUGUUAUUAAAAUUGAUUUAUAAGGAAGUAAGUGUUAAAAGGUGAAAUGAUUUAAUAUUUAAUUAUUAUAAUUAAAAUGGUAUGAUUGUUAUGAAAUUAAAAAUAUAAACUAGGAUUAGAUACCCUAUUAUUUUUACUGUAAAUGGUAAGCUGAAGUAUUAGUAGCUAUGAUCUUGAAACUUAAAGAAUUUGGCGGUAUUAUAGUCUAUUUAGAGGAAUCUGUUAUGUAAUCGAUAGUCCACGUUGAACCUUACUUGUAUAAUUAUUUGUAUACCGCUGUUUAUGAAUAUACUAUAAGGUUAUUUUCUGGAAAUAUUAAUAUAUAGGAUUUCAAGUCAAGGUGCAGUAAUAUAUAAGUUGAAUAAUGGAUUACAAUAAAUUUUAUUUAUUAUGGAUUGUUAUUGAAAUAUAAUUUGAAGGUGGAUUUAAUUGUAAUUUUAUGAAGAUUAUUAAAAUGAUUAAUAGCUCUAUAAUAUGUACACAUCGCCCGUCACUCUCGUUAUAAGAUGAGAUAAGUCGUAACAAAGUAGGUGUAUCGGAAGAUGUACCUAGAAAGAAAUAAGGAAUUAAUU